rnacentral:rRNA from 1 species
UACAGAGGUCUCAAGCGUUGUUCGGAUUCAUUGGGCUUAAAGCGUGCGCAGGCGGCGCGUUAAGACAGGUGUGAAAGCCCCGAGCUUAACUUGGGAAUUGCGCUUGUGACUGGCGUGCUGGAGUGUGGCAGAGGGAGGUGGAAUUCCACGUGUAGCAGUGAAAUGCGUAGAGAUGUGGAGGAACACCGAUGGCGAAGGCAGCCUCCUGGGCCAGCACUGACGCUCAUGCACGAAAGCGUGGGGAGCAAACAGG